rnacentral:rRNA from 1 species
GUCUACAGCGAUACCACCCUGACCACACCUGAGCAUCUCAUCUGAGUAGCUAAGCAGGGUCAGGCCUGAUUAGUACUUGGGUGGGAGACCUAUAUAAGCAAAGAGGAUGCAUACU